rnacentral:lncRNA from 1 species
CAGUUCUAGAAACUUUAGGGUGUUUUCUAUCCAAAGCCAAUAAUUAUAUGCAUAUUCUAGUUACUGGGCAGGAGUAGUAACCAGAUUAAAUCGGGUACGUUUUUUAUCCAGCCGUGAAAAUACUGCCCCCUAGCCAUAACAAGUUAACAACCGUUCCACAGGUGCAUGUUCAUUAAUUGUUUAUGGUUCAUUGAACAUGGGAAACAGUGUUUAAACCCUUUUCUAUGAAGUUAUUUGGAUUUUUACAAAUUCUCUUUGAUAGACAGGGUCCUGAAAAGGGACAUUUAUUUUUUUUGUUGAAUUUAGAUUGAUGAGGAACAUUUAUUUAACCCCUGUGCGGCCUACGGGACGGACAUCCAGCGAAAAAUCAUAUCGCCAUUAGCAUAACAAAAUGUAAUAAUUAAAAAAAAACUAUAAUAAAUUCCAAUUAUAUCGUUUUAUAGAUACACCUCUCCUGAAUCGAACCACGUUGUCCGAUUUCAAAAAGGCUUUACAGCAAAAGCAAAACAUUAGAUUAUGUUAGAGGAGUAUAUCGUAAAAGUAGCCACAGCCAUUUUCCGAUCAACCACAUGCAUCACAAAUAACCAAAAAACAGCUAAAUGCAGCACUAACCUUUGACAAUCUUCAUCAGAUGACACACCUAGGACAUCAUGUUACACAAUACAUGCAUUCUUUUGUUCGAUAAAGUUCAUAUUUAUAUAUAAAAACAGCAUUUUACAUCGGUGCGUAACGUUAACUAACUAUUUUCCCUCAAAUGCAUCCGAUGAAACAGAGCUACAAUUUACUAAAUUACUAUUCGAAAACAUUUUUUUAAAUGUAAUAUUGUCAUUCUAAGAUUUAUAGAUGAAUAUCUCUUGAAAGCACCUGUAAUGCCAGAUUUAAAAUUAACUUUACUGGGUAAUCAUACUUUGCGAUGAAAGGGGAUGCGAUACUCUGAAAAAUAGGCUAACGUUACAGGUCAGCGCCAUCUUGGAACAAUCGCAUAUCACAUCUAGUCUUGUAUACUAUUGUCAAUAAUCCCUUACCUUUGGUUGUCUUCAUCAGAAAGCACUUCCAGGAAUCCCAGGCCCACAACAAAUGUAUUUUCGUUGGAAAAAAAUACUCCUUUAUGUUCCAAGAGCUUGUUCUUGUUAGCGCGUCUGAAGGCUGCUCCAAAACUUCCGUCGGCCACGGGACAGCCAUUUCGAGAAAAUGCAUUUUUCCCCAUUUAGGUUCGUUCAAAGAUGUCAAACGUUGUAUAACAUAAAUCUUCAGGGCGUUUUUCAACAAGAGAGCCAAUAAGAUUCGAGGGGGACGAUUGCAUUGUGUUUCAAAAUGUUUCGAAAGGGGAGGGUAACCAGGGGCGUCGGCGUCAUAAUGGUGAUGGCCCUCUCCGUGUGAUCACGUUCCACUGCGUCUCAUUCAUUCAGUUUUCACAGUAGGAGUCUCAAAUCACUUUGUAAAGACUGGGGACAUCUAGUGGAAGCAAUAGGAAGUGCUCAAUGAACCAUAGCUCACGGUGUGAUUAAUAGGCAACGUGAUGAAGUUGAGUUCGCAAUUCAGAAUUCCACUUCCUGUUUCGAUCUGUCUCGGGGUUUUGACUGCCUUAUGAGUUCUGUUAUACUCACAGACACCAUUCAAACAGUUUUAGAAACUUUAGGGUGUUUUCUAUCCACAAGUAUUAAUUAUAUGCAUAUCCUAGCUUCUGAGUUUGAGUAGGAGGCCGUUUAAAAUGGGCACGAAUUUUUUUCAAAAAUCGCUUUAGCGCCCCCUAUCCUAGGGGAACGCCAAGAGGUUAAUACAUUUUAGAAUAUGGCUGUAACAACAUGUGGAAAAAGUCUGAAUACUUUCCGAAUGCACUGUAUAUAGUGUCCACACUAUAACAAUCACUUACGUCAUGAUUUGACCUUGUUUUUUUCCAAGUUCCCAAUUGUCUUGAAAGCACCAUCAGUAACCCCACCCACCUGCACUAUACCACUAUCACUAUAUCCUGAAUUCUCCCCCACCCCCAUUAUCCUUUGUUUGACUUCCCAGUUACAACUUGGCAGUUAACCCACUGUUUCUAGGCCGUCAUUGUAAAUAAGAAUUUGUUCUUAACUGACUUGCCUAGUUAAAUGAAGGUUAAAUAAAA